rnacentral:rRNA from 1 species
AUUGAACGCUGGCGGCAGGCUUAACACAUGCAAGUCGAGCGAGCGGCGGACGGGUGAGUAAUGUCUGGGAAACUGCCUGAUGGAGGGGGAUAACCACUGGAAAAGGUAGCUAAUACCGCAUACCAUCAGAUGUGCCCAGAUGGAUUUAGCUAGUAGGGGGGGUAAUGGCAAUCAUAGGCGACGAUCCCUAGCUGGUCCGAGAGGAUGACCAGCCAAACGGGAACUGGAACACGGUCCAGACUCCUACGGGAGGCAGCAGUGGGGAAUAUUGCACAAUGGGCGCAAGCCUGAUGCAGCCAUGCCGCGUGUGUGAAGAAGGCCUUCGGGUUGUAAAGCACUUUCAGCGAGGAGGCGUUACUCGCAGAAGAAGCACCGGCUAACUCCGUGCCAGCAGCCGCGGUAAUAC